rnacentral:lncRNA from 1 species
CCCACACCCUGGAAGGGGUUCCCAAGACGCCUCUCACCAACUCCUGAAGCACUGCUGCCUGCCAUUCUCCGUGUGUCCAAGUGCCUUUUAUCACAGUCCCUACAUGGCACCAGCCACCAAAAGCACGUUCCGGAGUCUCUACAAAGGAGUCACUGCACUCAGAGCAGGCACUACAUGUCCUCACCAUUCCAUGGACACAGAGGCUCGCCAUGGGCCAUCUUACUUGGUUUCUGUUAGUUGCUGCUGCCAUCCACAAGCAAGUUUUGACAGCCGACCCCCAAAGCAACCUCUGUUGUGUGUCAAGACGGCAGCUGCCUCAGAGAAGUGUGAAGGGAGAAAAAAGAGAUGAAGACCUUGGGAGAACUGUGAUAUUCUGAACUUGUCUGGCCUAUAGCUAAGUAUUCUUCAAGAAUAGCAUAAAAAUGUCUGAGGCAGAAGCCCUGGCUUCCGGUGGGACUCUGUGGACUAGUUGAGAGAGAGAGCUCCACACAGAGGUUGGAGACCUGCCUCCUCUUCCAUGCCUGUCAGUCACAACCUCUGUGACCUUUGUGAGUGCCUUCUACCCUCCAGGCCUCAGUGUCUACAACUGUGAACGACAGCUUUAAAACUUUUUUUGUUUAUUUGUUUUUUUUCGAGACAGGGUUUCUCUGUGGCUUUGGAGGCUGUCCUGGAACUAGCGCUUGAAGACCAGGCUGGUCUCGAACUCCCAGAGAUCUACCUGCCUCUGCCUCUGCCUCCCAAGUGUUGGGAUUAAAGGCGUGCG